UACGGAGGGUGCAAGCGUUAUCCGGAAUCACUGGGUUUAAAGGGUGCGUAGGCUGCUGCAUAAGUCAGGGGUGAAAGUUUGUCGCUUAACGGUAGAAUUGCCUUUGAUACUGUGCGGCUUGAAUUUAGGUGAGGUUGGCGGAAUGUGACAUGUAGCGGUGAAAUGCAUAGAUAUGGCAGAGAACACCGAUUGCGAAGGCAGCUGACUGGCCCGGAAUUGACGCUGAGGCACGAAAGCGUGGGGAGCAAACAGG
rnacentral:rRNA from 1 species